rnacentral:lncRNA from 1 species
CCUCUCCACAACCCCAACCCCACUCCUCCUUCUCUUCCUUUGAGUCUCAGCUUAAAUGUCAUUUUCCCAGGGAGACCUUUGUCAACCACCUGAUAUAAGUCAGUUGACUGCCCUCCCUAUUACUUUCUAGGCUAGUUUCAUACUGCACUUUCUUCCUAGUGCUUAUCACACUGCGUGAAUUUUCUUUGUUUAUUUACUUUUGUCAGUAUUCCUUGCUAGAAACAGGUACUCAAGACACCCCUCCAUCUGGCAGGCUGGAAAUUGAGCAGGGAGAAUGCAGGAGACUGUUUCGGGUGGCCGAGAUGAUGGUCUGGCUGCUCUUUCUACCCUGGCAUGGGCAAAGCCCAAGUCCUACAGGUGGGGAAUGCGUCAGCUUGGGCUCAUGUACUUAUGGUUCUUUUUUUCCACUGGGGGUGGGGAGGACCUACAAGAUGUCAGAGGAAGUUGACCAGAGUCACCAGAGUGACCAGAGUCACCUAUGCAAGUUCCCUUCACUGCCAAAUGAAUAAAAGGAAAAAGAAGAUUGCAGCCAGGCACGGUGGUUUAUGCCUGUAAUCUCAGCACUUUGGGAGGCCAAGGUGGGUGGAUCACCUGAAGUCAGGAAUUCGAGACCAGCCUGGCUGGCCAACAUGGUGAAACCCCGUCUCUACCAAAAAUACAAAAAAAAAAAAAAAAAAAUGAGCCAGGCGUGGUGGCAUGAGCCUGUACUCCUAGCUACUCAGAAGGCUGAGGCGGAAGAAUCGCUUGGGCCCAGGAGGCAGAGGUUGCAGUGAGCCGAGAUUGCACCACCGCACUCCAGCCUAGGCCAGAGAGAGACUCCGUCUCAAAAACAGAAAAAAAAAAAAAAAAGAAGAUUGCUAACAUCUUUAGGAGACAUGUAGAAGGUUUGCUGUGGACCUGCUUUCAACUCAUCAAAUACAAAGGAGUCCUAUUGCUGGAUCAUAGUGUAUAGUGUCUUUAUUACUGCAGUGCAAGCACUUUCCAAGUGUCAUGUUUGUUAUUUACCCACUGUCCAAAGCAAGUCACGUGGCCAAGCUCAAGAGUCAGAGUGGAGAGAACUACCCAACGCAGGGAUAUAGGGAGGGGGAUGAUGGUACCCAUUUUGAAGAGAUCUACCCAAGGCAGGGAUAUAGGGAGGGGAAUGAUGGUACCCAUUUUGAAAACAAUCUAUUGCAGUAAUCAUAGACCAUAGUAAUUGCUCAGAAUCAGGAUGAUUUAGGCUAGGAAAUAAAUAAAAAUGGCCAGCCCAUGGCUUCUGCGUCCCUCUAAGAUAAAGUUCAAAGUCCUUAGCUGUGAUACAUGACUACCUGCUAUAUGUUAUCUCACUAUAAUGCCUUCUCCCCACCUCAAAACUAUAGAGAAUGGGCACACAGAGCUUUUUUAAUGGGGAAUGCACCUUGCUAUUUCACACCCUGUAUCAUUGCUCCACACCCUGUAUCAUUGCUCCUGCUGGUUCAACUGGCAUAUAAUCCCCCACCCUGAGUCCCACAGACUAACCCACCAUUGAUCUUUGAACAUCUUUAGAGACACAACAGGAUUUACCUCCUCAAAGAAGCCUACCCUCUGCUUUGGAUAGAAUUGAACAUUCAUUUCUUUGGAAGUCAUAGAGCCACAUGCAGUUUUUUUGUUUUUGUUUUUUGAGACAGGGUCUUGCUCUGUCACCCAGGCUGGAGUGCAGUGGCGUGAUCACAGCUCACUGCAGUCUCGACCUCCUAGGCUCAAGGGAUCCUCCCUCCACAGCCUCCCGAGUAGCUGGGACCACAGGCACGCACCACCAUGCCUGGCUAAAUUUUUAUUUUUAACAUCUUUCUAUGUUGCCCAGGCUGGUCUCGAACUCCUGGGCUCAAGCAAUCCUCCCGCCUCGACCUCCCAAGGUUCUAGGAUUACAGGUGUGAGCCACGGUGCUGGCCCAGAUUUUUAAUUUUACACCUAAAUAACUUUAGUGCUCAUUUGUUAAUGUGCCCGUCUCCCUUUUGGUAGACUCUAAGAUCCUCAAAGGUAGGGACUAUAUCUUUCUUAUAUUCAUAUUUUCCUUCCUUCCUUCCUUCUUUCGUAGAUGGAAUCUUGCUCUGUCAUCCAGGCUAGAGUGCAGUAGCGUGAUCUCGGGUCACUGCAACCUCCGCCUCCCGGGUUCAAGCAAUUCUCCUGCCUCGGCCUCCUGAGUAGCUGGGAUUAUAGGCGCCCACCACCAUUCCUGGUUAAUUUUUGUAGAGACGGGGUUUCACCAUGUUGGUCAGGCUGGUCUCGAACUCCGGACCUCAGGUGAUCCGCCCACCUCGACCUCCCAAAGUGCUGGGAUUACAGGCGUGAGCCACUACGCCCGGCCAGUAUUUUCAUGCAUGGAUAGUUGUUCAAAUUGAUGCUUUGGCAGAGGUGGUGGUGGGGCAGUCAUUGGAGAGUCCUAUUCCACCAUCCUGCUCCGACUUCCCCCAUUUUAUUUGCUUUGUGAAACAACAAGCUGGAAAUACUGAAAACUUCAUAGCAAACUUUGUGAGAAAGAAACCUACUACUACUUAACACUGAAAACAGAAAUAUAUAGCUUUGGGCCAGGCACAGUGGCUCACGCCUGUAAUCCUAGCAGUUUGGGAGGCUGAGGUGGAUGGAUCACCUGAGGUCAGGAGUUCAAAACCAGCCUUGGCCAAUAUGGUGAAACCCUGUCUCUACUAAAAAUACAACAAUUAGCUGGGCCGUAGUGGUAAGUGCCUGUAAUCCCAGCUACUCGGGAGGCUGAGUCAGGAGAAUCGCUUGAGCCUGGGAGGCGGAGGUUGCAGUGAGCCGAGAUCGCACCACUGCACUCUAGCCUGGGCAACAGAGUGAGACUCUGUCUCAGAAAAAAAAAAAAAAAAAUUUUGCAGCCCUAACAGAAACAAAACUCAGCUUGACAUAUUAAAUGUAGAAAUCAUUACCUAGGUAGAAAAUUUUAAACUUUGUCAAGUUUCUUUAGAAUGGACACCCAUUAAGAGUUAUAACAACAUUUAAAUUCAGAAAAUCAAUCAUCUCAAAAAAUUUUAACAGCUCAAAUAUUUUUCAUAAUUAUGUUUGUGAAAGAAAUGAAAACGAAAAGCCCAGGAAGCAGGGUGAUACUAUUGCUAGUUAUAAUUUCUAUUUUUAACACCCUAAAUUUCUUAGUUCUCAUUUCUUCUUGCAUUUCAGCUUGUGGUUGGCUUUGCAAAGCUAACAUUUUCUUUGGUGACAGUUUUUAAAACGUAAGCCAGAAGACUUUGGUCAGGAGCUUCCCCAUUCCAUAGAACAUCUGAGAACUUAAAAAAAAUGGUAUUUAAAUUGCACUAAGAAGAUAAAGUAGUGUGAUAUUUUGAUAGGUGCUUAUUUUUGUUUUGUUUGCUUUUAACUUCUGGACCUAUCCCAAUGUUUUCCAGGAUCCUCAGAACAUAUGGGUGGUCUUUUCUUUUAAAAAUAUAUAUAAACCCGGCCGAGUGUGGUGGCCCAUGCCUGUAAUCAGGCUGAGGUGGGAGGAUCACUUGAGCCCAGGAAUUUGAGACCAUUCUGGGCAGCAUAGUGGGACCCUGUCUCUACAAAAAAUAAAAAAUUAGCCCAACAUGGUGGCACAUGCCUGUGGUCCCAGCUACUUGGGAGGCUGAGGCAGGAGGAUCACUUGAGCCUGGGAGUUUGAGGCUGCACUGAGCUAUGAUCAUGCUACUGCACUCCAGCCUGAGUGACGGAGCAAGAUACUGUCUCCAAGAAAAAAAAAGUAGGGGGAGGGCGGUUUUUUUUUUAUUACAGUCUCUUUCAGCAAGAAAAUAAAAGCUUUCCCAGAAGCAUCCUAGGAGAAUUCUUCCCUUCAUUUUGUUGGCCAGUGUUGGGUAAUGUGGCCAUUAUUAGAUGCAGGGGGUCUGGGAAAGUGGAUAAGAGGAGCAUAAUAGCUAAUGUCAGAUUGUUCCCUAAAUAAAAUGGGAGUUGUAUCAAUAAACAGAAGGUUUGUGGAGGAGGUGGGGAUGAGAUGGCAGUUAGGCAGGCAAAGUACAUCACCUGCCAUGAUGCAAUAUUUGUGUAGCUAAAAACUUGUAAUGCGGUUAGAUAGAAUGAAUAUGUUCUAGUGUUCCAUAGCACAGCAGGGUGACUGUAGUUAAUGAUAUAGUGUGGAUACUUGUUCCCACACAAAUCUCAUGUGGAAUUGUAAUCCCCAAUGCUGGAAGUGGGGCCAGUGGGAGGUGAUUGGAUCAUGGGGGCAGAUCCCUCAUGAAUGGCUUAGGCCAUCCCCUUCAUGAUACGUGAGCUCUUGCUCUGAGUUCACAUGAGAUGCUUUGUUUAAAAGCAUGUGGCUGGCCGGGUGUGGUGGCUCACGCCUGUAAUCCCAGCACUUUGGGAGGCUGAGGUGGGUGGAUUGCCUGAGCUCAGGAGUUCGAGACUAGCCUGGGUAACAUGGUGAAACCCCAUCUCUACUAAAAUACAAAAAAUUAGCCGGGUAUAGUGGCAUGUGCCUGUAGUCUCAGCCGCUUGGGAGGCUGAGGCAGGAGAAUUGUUUGAACCCGGGAGACGGAGGUUGCAGUGAGCCCAAAUCGCACCACUGCACUCCAGCCUCGGUGACAGGGGGAGACUCCUUUUCCAAAGAAAGAAAAAAGCAUGUGGCAACUCUCUCCCAACUCUCUCUUGCUUGCUCCUGCUUUUGCCAUGUGACAUGCUUGUUCCCCCUUCACCGUCUGCCAUGAUUGAAAGCUCCCUGAGGUUUCACUGGAAGCCAAGCAGAUGUCAGCACCAUGCUUCCUGCAGAACCAUGAGCCAAUUAAACCUCUUUUCCUAGUCUCAGGUAUUUCUUUAUAGCAAUGCAAGGACAGCCUAAUACAGUUAACAGUAAUUUAUUUUAUACUUCAAAAUAGCUAGAAGAGAUUUGAAGUGUUCCCAAUACAAAGAAAUGACAAAUAUUUGAGGUGAUAGAUACCCUGAUUUGAUCAUUACACGUUGUAUGUAUGUAUCAAAUACCUAAAUACCCUGAUUUGAUCAUUACAUGUUGUAUGCAUGUAUCAAAUACCUAAAUACCCUGAUAUGAUCAUUACACAUUGUAUGCAUGUAUCAGAAUAUCACAUGGACCCAUCCCAUAAAUAAGUGCAAUUAUUGUGUAUCAAUAAAAAUGUUUUGGUUGGGU